rnacentral:rRNA from 1 species
GUCUUUUUGAUUAUAAUUUAAGGUCUAAUCUGCUCAAUGAAAAAUUAAAUAGCUGCAGUAUUUUGACUGUACAAAGGUAGCAUGAUAAUUAGUUCAUUAAUUGUGAACUUGAAUGAAGGAUUGGACGAGAAAAUUUCUGUCUCUUUUUAAUUUUUUAUUAAAUUUUACUUUUAAGUUAAAAGGCUUAAAUUAAUGUAAAAGACGAGAAGACCCCAUAGAGUUUAAUUUUUAAUAAUAUUUAGAAUAAGUUUAUAAAUAAUAGAAAUUGGUUGGGGUGACUUAAAGAUUUAAUUAACUCUUUAAAUUAAAAUCAUUGAUUAGUGAAUUUAAAAUCUGAUAAUUUUCAAUUUUAAAUUAAGUUACCUUGGGGAUAACAGCGUAAUUUCUUUUAGAGUUCUUAUCGAAAGAGAAGAUUGCGACCUCGAUGUUGGAUUAAAGUAAAAAUAGGGCGCAGAAGUCUUAAAUUUAAGUCUGUUCGACUUUUAAAACUUU